UCCCUGGUGGCCUAGUGGUUAAGGACCCGGCGUUGUCACUGCUGUGGCUCGGGUUCGAUCCCUGGCCUGGGAA
rnacentral:tRNA from 1 species